CAGGCCUAACACAUGCAAGUCGAACGGAAAGGCCCUGCUUUUGUGGGGUGCUCGAGUGGCGAACGGGUGAGUAACACGUGAGUAACCUGCCCUUGACUUUGGGAUAACUUCAGGAAACUGGGGCUAAUACCGGAUAGGAGCUCCUGCUGCAUGGUGGGGGUUGGAAAGUUUCGGCGGUUGGGGAUGGACUCGCGGCUUAUCAGCUUGUUGGUGGGGUAGUGGCUUACCAAGGCUUUGACGGGUAGCCGGCCUGAGAGGGUGACCGGCCACAUUGGGACUGAGAUACGGCCCAGACUCCUACGGGAGGCAGCAGUGGGGGAUAUUGCACAAUGGGCGGAAGCCUGAUGCAGCAACGCCGCGUGCGGGAUGACGGCCUUCGGGUUGUAAACCGCUUUCGCCUGUGACGAAGCGUGAGUGACGGUAAUGGGUAAAGAAGCACCGGCUAACUACGUGCCAGCAGCCGCGGUGAUACGUAGGGUGCGAGCGUUGUCCGGAUUUAUUGGGCGUAAAGGGCUCGUAGGUGGUUGAUCGCGUCGGAAGUGUAAUCUUGGGGCUUAACCCUGAGCGUGCUUUCGAUACGGGUUGACUUGAGGAAGGUAGGGGAGAAUGGAAUUCCUGGUGGAGCGGUGGAAUGCGCAGAUAUCAGGAGGAACACCAGUGGCGAAGGCGGUUCUCUGGGCCUUUCCUGACGCUGAGGAGCGAAAGCGUGGGGAGCGAACAGGCUUAGAUACCCUGGUAGUCCACGCUGUA
rnacentral:rRNA from 1 species